CAACCAAAGCAAUGUAUAACAAACCAAUUCUAUUAAAUUCACUUUUAAAUUCAGUUGUGAUCUAGUGUAUACAGGUCCUUUUUUUUUUUCUUUUGCUUUCUGAAUUUAUGAAAUAGCUUCUGUCUUUUUUUUUUCACAAAAAAUGAAUGCAAAUAGAAUUAUUGAGAAUUAAAAAUAAUUGGGGGAUUUAUUUUUUGUGAGGCAGGUAAGAAAUUAAUUUCUAACAUAUGCUUUUCUUGACAGUGUCACUUUAAUUUUCUCUUAAUAGGUUGGUGGAAUGGCUGUUUCCAUGACAGCACAGCAAAUAUACAGUAGGGGCACUGAUAAACAGUGAUGAAUAACAGAUCAUUAGACUUCAGGGUGAAUUCUUCACUAUUCUGUUGCUGCUUUUUACAUUUGUCUGAUAGAGACAACACAUUUCACCACUGUCCAUGACACCAAGAUAAAAGUUGUGCAACUUCCAAGACCCUGUGUGCUAAAAGACAACAGUUGCUGCCUUUGAAGUAGGCUGCACUUCAAAACCCGAGCAUACGGUGACUUCUCCUUCUGCAGAGGCUCCCUGGCAUCACAGGGGCAAGUUUGUGAAUGAAGCCUUUCAGAACUGGCUGAGAACAUGGUGCAGCACAAAAGGCGCGAUGGGUCAUGGUUUAAAGUUGCUGAAUUUAUUCCAGAAACUCAAGUAUAAUAUCCUGGCAAACUGAAACCCAGAUUUUUUGGGCACCAGACCUCAUUUCCUCCGCUGUGCAGAAUGUCUUUCUUGCUUGUGAAGAUCUGGUCAAAGUCACAGGGUUCAAAAUGCUUUUUGAGGAAUGGCUGGGUCUGGAGGCCCCAAGUGAGACUGGACCCUUGAUGUACUACCUGAUCCAUGAUCCCAACUGACUCGUGUGGCCUGACAGGUGCACCUGAGGACAGACAUUGAGCCGGUGUCCUCAGGAGGGAGCAUGGAAGAGGACCUCCGGAUUGGAACUCCAGUGUGCCAAGUGCUCAGCAAAGACCUCAGGUUGAAAGCUUCAGAGGAGCUGUGAGCUGACGGAAAAAAAGGAAAAGUUUAUACUGUGUGUGGGGGGGAAAGGAAACUCACUUGAUAAAUACAAACUCAAGACAUAUUUAGAAGCUGGAUAUGCAAGCUGAACAUUCCCUGGGGCUAAUUGCUGUAAUGGCAUGUUAAAUAAAUACUUUCUAAACUUG